rnacentral:rRNA from 1 species
AGGGUUUGAUUAUGGCUCAGAACGUACGCUGGCGGCACGCCUAACACAUGCAAGUCGAACGAAGUAGCAAUACUUAGUGGCAGACGGGUGAGUAACAUGUAGGUAUCUGCCCUUUGGCCUGGAAUAACACGAGGAAACUUGUGCUAAUACCGGAUAAGUCUUUACGGAGAAAGCUUUAUGCACCAUUGGAUGAGCCUGCACUUGAUUAGUUUGUUGGUGGGGUAAUGGCCUACCAAGACUGUGAUCAAUAGCUGAUUUGAGAGGAUGAUCAGCCACAUUGGGACUGAGACACGGCCCAAACUCCUACGGGAGGCAGCAGUGGGGAAUCUUGCACAAUGGAGGAAACUCUGAUGCAGCGAUGCCGCGUGAGUGAAGAAGGCCCUUGGGUUGUAAAGCUCUUUCGUCGGGGAAGAAAAUGACUGUACCCGAAUAAGAAGGUCCGGCUAACUUCGUGCCAGCAGCCGCGGUAAUAC